rnacentral:rRNA from 1 species
GACGGAGGGUGCAAGCGUUAUCCGGAAUGAUUGGGCGUAAAGCGUCCGCAGGUGGCAGAUCAAGUCUGCUGUCAAAGACCGGGGCUUAACUUCGGAAAGGCAGUGGAAACUGAACAGCUAGAGUAUGGUAGGGGCAGAGGGAAUUCCUGGUGUAGCGGUGAAAUGCGUAGAUAUCAGGAAGAACAUCGGUGGCGAAGGCGCCCUGCUGGACCAUAACUGACACUGAGGGACGAAAGCGAGGGGAGCGAAUGGG